rnacentral:rRNA from 1 species
UACAGAGGGUGCGAGCGUUAAUCGGAAUUACUGGGCGUAAAGCGCACGUAGUCGGCUUUGCAAGUCGGUUGUGAAAUCCCCGGGCUCAACCUGGGAACUGCAUCCGAGACUGCAUUGCUAGAGUAUGGGAGAGGAAAGCGGAAUUUCUGGUGUAGCAGUGAAAUGCGUAGAUAUCAGAAGGAACAUCAGUGGCGAAGGCGGCUUUCCUUG